UACGUAGGGGGCAAGCGUUGUCCGGAUUUAUUGGGCGUAAAGAGCGUGUAGGCGGUUUGGUAGGUCCGUUGUGAAAACUCGAGGCUCAACCUCGAGACGCCGAUGGAAACCAUCAGACUAGAGUCCGGAAGAGGGAAGCGGAAUUUCCGGUGUAGCGGUGAAAUGCGUAGAUAUCGGAAGGAACACCAGUGGCGAAAGCGGCUUCCUGGUCCGACACCGACGUUCAGGCACGAAAGCGUGGGGAGCAAACAGG
rnacentral:rRNA from 1 species